rnacentral:lncRNA from 1 species
AACCAUACGUUUCCUUGACCAUUGGGAAUGAUGCCGUUGAAGAUGAGAUUUGUCUUCACAGCUUCGGUAUUAUCCUAUCUUCAUUCUCGUGUAUAGUUUGACCCCCAAGGAAGAAUAUGAAGGAAAGCCUCGGAUGCAAAAUUGGAUUUGAAUCUGUGGGACUAUGGGCUCUUGAUGAAAACUGGGAGCUCGUUUGGGUCCUUGGAGGCUCAGUAUCAAGCUCUUGCCCACCUUGUUGAAGUAAUGAGAGAGGCUCUAAUUGAAGACACCUGCCCCACAUACUAUCUCUUUCCAAUUCUAGUGGGCCCAAAAAGGGUAUGUGGGACCAAGCAGAGGUAAGAGAAAUUCUGAACAUGGCUAAAGGACUCGGUCAGGCCCAAAAGGGCAGCACAGGUAUUUUGAAGGCCCAAAACCGAAAUAAAAUUAUGAGAGAGGGUGCCUUAGAGGCUUAGAGCAAUCUCAUUCAGAAUAAGCCUAUCUUGAAAGUGCAAACACUGAUUGGCUGAGUUUUCGUGGGUCAGGUAUUCAGGAGGUCCACAGCAUGCUCUUCAAGUUGUCAUCACCUAUCUUUGAGCCGAGGGUCCUUUUUUAUUUAUUCCUUUGUUUAUUCCUUCAUCUUUUGGUUUUAAAAUAGUUUCCUAAACCCUAGUUUACAAAUAAUUUUUCAAAUUUUUUUUUAUUUAACUUUUCAUCUUUAGUUUUUUUUAAGGUCUUAAAAACCUCGUUUUUUUUAAUAAUAAAGGUUGAUGCCAUUUUUCCAUUCGACAAGCAAUUUUCAAACCUAUCUCGGUCUUUUAAAAUGUGUUUAAAAUAAACAUGAAUUUAAAUUCCGUAAUUCCAAGUGAUGGAAUUUAUGGAAUAAAUUCAUGCUAAAAUAAAUUGGGCUUUGGUGGGGGCCCCACAUAUGAGUUUUCAUGAUUGAUUGAUUGACUGAUUGGUUGACUUGUUUGCCAUGCGUGAUUGAUUUCACUCUGUCCUGUGAUAUGCAUGUAAUCAUUUUGUGUUAAUUCGCUAACCCUGUUCUAUGAUAGCGCAUUUAUGACUAAAGGUCCAGGUACGCACUCAUUCUCAUUUUGAUCAUUUUAUAUGCAUAUUCUGAUCCUCAUAUUGUGCAUGAUCGAUUUGAGUGUUCAUUGAUUUUCUUAUUGAUUAUCACGUCAGCUUUAUUCUAUUAGUAGAGACCUGACUUUAGGGACUUAGAGGGGUGCUACGGUCUUUACCGUACCUUCCCGAUAAGUAACCUGACCCCCGAACCCGAUCCGGUUUUCGUAGAUCACCUUUUCCAAAAAUAAGGAGUCGCACUCAGGGUUUUUCUUUCUUAUUUUGUUUACCCUUUAAAAAUAAAACAAAAAUAAGUGGCGACUCCAAGUCAUUUUCAAAUAAUCAAUAAAAAUCAAUUUUUCAAAUAAAAAUCGAGCUCGCCAUCGAGUGGGAAACGCAUUCGAGCAAUCGAAAAUGCGGGGUCCACAAAAUGGCGACUCCAAGUCAUUUUCAAAUAAUCAAUAAAAAUCAAUUUUUCAAAUAAAAAUCGAGCUCGUCAUCGAGUGGGAAACGCAUUCGAGCAAUCGAAAAUGCGGGGUCCACAUAACAAUAUCUAUAGGCAAAAAAAACAUUUAUAUUUACUCAGGGUUAAUUAAAAUAUUAAAUAAUUUUGAACUAUAUUGAUAAAAACGUAUAUUAAAAUCAUUUAUUUAAAUUAUUUUAUUUUAAACUAAAAGGGACACGUGGAGUCUACUUUAUGUUAAGUCUAGGAAUGGGGAGGGGGUGGGGAAGAAGUAAAUAAUAAUAAUAUAUUAAUACAAAAUAUAGUAAAAUGAAAUGAGAUAGUGUAUGGUUGUAAAUACUAAAUAGUAAUUUAUAGUCUUUCUGCAAUCCAACCACAUCCUCUUGACUUUUCUCAAUAGUCCGGACUUUUCUCAAUAGUACAGCAAUUUAAAAAAGUUAUGCUUAAAUUACUGUACUGGCAGAAGUUAUUACAAAUAUAGGGUAGUUUUUGCCACAUAGGAGAGAGGAGAGAGGAAAGAGGAGAGAGGAGAGAGGAGAGAGGGUGAGAGAAGAGAGGAAAGAGGAGAGAGGAGAGAGGAGAGAGGGUGAGAGAGAGGAGAUAGGAGAGAGGAGAGAGG